UAUAUAAACCUUUUCCCUCCCAGUAUUGCUGUUUGUUCUCCCAUCUCUCCUUCUGUGAAGCUUUUUGUGGCAGAGGCUUGUUGCCUCCCACCAAUGUACAACGUAAUGGCUUUGCAACACAAGGAGUGAGCUGCACUUUAUGGCAGCCUGAGCCAUAUUUGGCAACCAAAAAUAUUAUGAAACCAGCAGCACUUAGAAACCCAUCAGGAAGAUUGGCAUGUGAACUUCAUUAAAAAUGGGUAAUUCUUUGAAUCACGCAAAGUUGCCCGUCUGAAAGUCUAGCCUGUCUCGGCAUCUCGAUUAACUCUGUGCCAAGGACCAGCGUCGCAUAUUGCCCAUCUGCUGUUGAAAUUCAAUGAAUGUGCGAAGAACAGAGCGAAAAAAUUGCGAUUAGCGCAAACUCGUUUCUAGCGACGUGACUAACCAGCCCAGGGACAGACAUAGCACCGGAGGGAGAGGUCAGCAUUCGCCGUUGUCAGCAGCGAAGGCCCAGAGUUAAUAGCCAUUAUCACAACAAAAGAUCCGUUUCGGCGCUCGCCAGGACCUUCCUCGGUACAACACAGGAAAUUGACGGCGAUGUAUUUGUUUCUGCGAUUAUAAUCCAUCGCGCGUCAAUUUCAUGUGAAUUUGACAAUGAGACGUCCCAGAGGAGAGAGUUUUCCUGGCUGCGAGGCUGUUUCCUUCGGGGGUGGGAGGUGAGGUGGGGUAUGUGGGUGUCGUUACCUGGAAUCAGAAUUCGUUCGCGCAUUUCGCAAACCCGCAUUGGCGCAGACUUACCCGCUGGGUCUAUGCGGCGGAUUCGGAUCGCUCUGUCUCACCGCCCUCAGUCGGAGGCGGAGCAUGAAGAGGGAAUGAGACGCGAACCCAGCUCUGUCACUCCGUCCCGAACUGCUUUAUUCCGAGCAGUAAAACCCUAGUGCAUCGUCUCAGCACAGUUUGUAACAUAAGUCGGUCACUCUUUGGGGGGCGGGAGGGGUUAAGGAGCGACGGUGGGCCAUUCUGCCCAUCUAUAGCUCUCUGCUAUUCAAUGUGACCACAGCUGGUCCUCUUUCUUAAUGCCAUGGCUCCGCUCCCUCCUGUACAGAUAUUGUCUAGAAAUCUCUCUGUUUAUUUCUUAAAUAUACUGUGACUUGCCUUCCACAGUCCUCUGUGUCGGAGAAUUCCACAGGUUUGCCAUUGAACGUGUGAAGAAAUUUCUCAUCGCAGUCUGAAAUGGCCAGUCCCCACAUCCUUAGCCAUGGUCCCUCAGGAGCCCUUGUCCUAGACCCCACAGCCAGGGGAAAUAUCAUCCAUGCCUCCUACCCUGGCAGAACUCCAAAUGUUUCAACAAGACCCCUUCAUUCUUCUAAAUUUCAUUGGUUCAGCAAAUAGAUCAACCCAAUUUCUCCCCAUGCAACAAUCUUGUCAUCCCAGGAAUCAGACCGAGGAAGUUUCACAGCAGUCCCCUGAUACAUAAAUGGUGGUGUACCAAUAAUAUAACGGAACUGAUAAUACACAGGCCUGGACAGAUAUGUAGGAGACAGGAACUCCAACGUUUAAAUUCAGCUCAUUAAUACACCAGUGAAUAAAAUCAUUCAGUUUCGUUAAUAACAACACUGCAAUGAUUGGAUUUUGUAAAAGCCCAUCUGGUUUGCAAAUGUCUUUCAGCAAAGGAAACCCAGUCUCCUUACCUGGUCUGGCCUACAGUUUUUUUUUUCAAUUCACUGUGUGAUUGAAUCAUACAGCACAGAUCCAGACCCUUCAGUGCAAAUUGUCCACACUGACCAGACAUCCCAGU